GGUGCACCUCGAUCACUUUCUACCGCUCUCCCCAAAUGGCGGCGACUUCAAUUCUCUGGAGAAAGUGAACCUCUCUUUUGGAACCGGAGGAGAGGCAUAAUGGUUCACAACUAUUCAAUUUGUUCCAAAUAACCUGCAAGACCAAAUUCCUGAAUCUUGGUGUGGACAUCAUUGAGUAUCGAUCAAAGUGUGUUGUGCUGUUAAUGAUGGAAGUGCUUCAAAACUUCCUAAGCAACGUGGCUAAAGAGUCAAGAGUUGAAGAAGUCAAGUAGUGGAGUUGUGGGGCCGUUUCUCAUGCAAGUGGAGUUCAUGUUUUCCUUAUUUUUAGUUAAAGAAUAAGUCAUGAUAGACGUUAGUUGGUUCCUUUUAUUUCUGCAUUUUAGUUAGUCUCUUUCCAUUAUUUAAAGGCCCCCCAUUACUGUAUUUUGACAUGAGAAAUAAAAAGAAAUAUCCCUUUCAAUUAUUAUCA